CAGCAGCCGCGGGAAUACGUAGGGUGCAAGCGUUAAUCGGAAUUACUGGGCGUAAAGCGUGCGCAGGCGGUUAUAUAAGACAGAUGUGAAAUCCCCGGGCUCAACCUGGGAACUGCAUUUGUGACUGUAUAGCUAGAGUACGGCAGAGGGGGAUGGAAUUCCGCGUGUAGCAGUGAAAUGCGUAGAUAUGCGGAGGAACACCGAUGGCGAAGGCAAUCCCCUGGGCCUGUACUGACGCUCAUGCACGAAAGCGUGGGGAGCAAACAGGAUUAGAGACCCGAGUAGUCCCUGUCUCUUAUAA
rnacentral:rRNA from 1 species